rnacentral:lncRNA from 1 species
AGUCCCAGCGUCCACCAACGACUAACUAUGGUGCCUGGUUUAUUUAUUCAACAUAAUGCCUAUUGGCAUGGGAGGACACGCCAGCUGUGUCUCGGCUCUGUGAUCACCCCGUAGAUGAUGGCAUCGUGGUAUACGUACAUAUUUACAUAUGCUGUUUUCCCGUCGUAUUAGCCACACACCAGGAUUAGUACACACACACACAAUGUUUGUAUUAUCAAAAAGAAACAACAC